rnacentral:misc_RNA from 1 species
GAAAUGCGAUAAGUAAUGUGAAUUUCAGAAUUCAGUGACUCAUCGAAUCUUUGAACGCACCUUGCGCUCCUUGGUAUUCCUUGGAGCAUGCCUGUUUGAGUAUCAUGAAAUCUUCAAAGUAAAUCUUUUGUUAACUCAAUUGGUUUCUACUUUGGUAUUGGAGGUCUUUGCAGCUUCACACUUGCUCCUCUUUGUUCAUUAGCUGGAUCUCAGUGUUAUGCUUGGUUCCACUCGGCGUGAUAAGUUAUCUAUCGCUGAGGACACUGUAAAAGGUGGCCAAGGUAAAUGCAGAUGAACCGCUUCUAAUAGUCCAUUGACUUGGACAAUACUUUUAUGAUCUGAUCUCAAAUCAGGUAGGACUACCCGCUGAACUUAAGC